AUUGAACGCUGGCGGCAGGCCUAACACAUGCAAGUCGAGCGAGCGGCGGGCGGGUGCGUAAUGUCUGGGAAACUGCCUGAUGGAGGGGGAUAACUACUGGAAACGGUAGCUAAUACCGCAUACCAUCAGAUUUGCCCAGAUGGGAUUGGCUAGUAGGUGGGGUAACGGCUCACCUAGGCGACGAACCCUAGCUGGUCUGAGAGGAUGACCAGCCACACUGGAACUGAGACACGGUCCAGACUCCUACGGGAGGCAGCAGUGGGGAAUAUUGCACAAUGGGCGAAAGUCUGAUGCAGCCAUGCCGCGUGUGUGAAGAAGGCCUUCGGGUUGUAAAGCACUUUUAGCGGGGAGGCGUUACCCGAAGAAGAAGCAACGGCUAACUCCGUGCCAGCAGCCGCGGUAAUAC
rnacentral:rRNA from 1 species